rnacentral:misc_RNA from 2 species
UCUCCGUUGGUGAACCAGCGGAGGGAUCAUUACCGAGUUUACAACUCCCAAACCCCUGUGAACAUACCAUUUGUUGCCUCGGCGGUGCCUGCUUCGGCAGCCCGCCAGAGGACCCAAACCCUUGAUUUUAUACAGUAUCUUCUGAGUAAAUGAUUAAAUAAAUCAAAACUUUCAACAACGGAUCUCUUGGUUCUG